AUGACGGUGCCCAUGCCGAUGGCCGCGACUAGGCCUUCCCGGACACCGGAACUUGUGGAACCUUACUGUUCUGAUGGAGCCGACGGUCUGCUCGACGACGACCGCGGCUUCGGCGUAGGCGGCCUGCCCCAGCGACGCCAUCCUGGCGACGACAUUGGACAUGACUGCGCCGGAGAGGACGAGUGGCGGGAUGGUGGCCACCAUGACGAGGGUGAGGAGCCAGCCCUGCGCGAAGGCCACGGCAAAGCCUCCAAAGAACGUCACCAUCAGCUGGAUGAACUUGCCGACCUUUUCCCCCAUGGCGUCCUGGAUGAGCACCGUGUCGCCGGACAUCCGCCCGACGACCUCGCCGGUGCUGGUGUACAUGUCGAAGAAGGCGAUCUCCUGCCGUAG
rnacentral:rRNA from 1 species